rnacentral:rRNA from 1 species
AUUGAACGCUGGCGGCAUGCCUUACACAUGCAAGUCGAACGGUAACGCGGGGCAACCUGGCGACGAGUGGCGAACGGGUGAGUAAUGCAUCGGAACGUGCCUGGUAGUGGGGGAUAACUGCUCGAAAGAGCAGCUAAUACCGCAUACGACCUGAGGGUGAAAGGGGGGGAUCGCAAGACCUCUCGCUAUCAGAGCGGCCGAUGUCGGAUUAGCUAGUUGGUGGGGUAAAGGCCCACCAAGGCAACGAUCCGUAGCUGGUCUGAGAGGACGACCAGCCACACUGGGACUGAGACACGGCCCAGACUCCGACGGGAGGCAGCAGUGGGGAAUUUUGGACAAUGGACGCAAGUCUGAGCCAGCCAUGCCGCGUGCGGGAAGAAGGCCUUCGGGUUGUAAACCGCUUUUGUCAGGGAAGAAAUCUUCUGGGUUAAUACCUCGGGAGGAUGACGGUACCUGAAGAAUAAGCACCGGCUAACUACGUGCCAGCCGCCGCCGUAAAAC